rnacentral:tRNA from 1 species
GGGCAAGUGGUGGAAUGGCAUACACGCAGGACUUAAAAUCCUGUGGCCGUAAGGCCGUGAGGGUUCGACUCCCUCCUUGCCCA